rnacentral:lncRNA from 1 species
AUGGAAUUUCCUGUUUUCCUAGAUUUUCCUUUCCUUCAACAUGCUAGGUACUUGAAGUAUAUUUCUUUCUUGUUGUUGGACCUAUUAUACAUGGUUGUGAUUUCAAAACCAACUCUUCUUGCAUAUUUAUUGUAGAAAUUGUACACAUCAUUAGCUAAAUUGAACUCUAUUCUAAUGUGAGGAUCAAUAUAAUCAUUGUCUGUAUUUGGGAUAGUAGGAGAAGGUGCAUUCUUUUGAAUAACACCAGCAACCCCCAUCCAACUAAUCUUGUUGGAUAUUUUUUAGAUCUAUAAUUUCAACAUCAUCAGUAGAAAUCUCUAUACAAGAUCAAUAACAUCGAUGUUAAUAGUAUUAGGUGAUAUUUUCUCUAGAGGAUAUUAAUAAUUGCAUAAUGCAUUGGCUAAAAUAUGGCACCCAGAGAGUGAUAAUAUAGUUAGGAGAUAAAAAAUUUCUAAAAAUAUUAGAUUUGAACUUAUGACACCCCUUCAUAAAAAUAAGACACCACUUCAAAAAUUUAUUACACCCUGACACAAAAAGAAAAAUUGAAGGUUUUGAUUCUCUUAUCAGGACUUUCCAUCAUCCGUUGGCUAAAAUAUAACUCCCAAGAUAUCAUAAUAU